GAUGAACGCUGACAGAAUGCUUAACACAUGCAAGUCUACUUGAAUUUGGGUUUUUUAGCUUAGAUUUGGGUGGCGGACGGGUGAGUAACGCGUAAAGAACUUGCCUCACAGCUAGGGACAACAUUUGGAAACGAAUGCUAAUACCUGAUAUUAUGAUUAUAAGGCAUCUUAGAAUUAUGAAAGCUAUAUGCGCUGUGAGAGAGCUUUGCGUCCCAUUAGCUAGUUGGAGAGGUAACGGCUCACCAAGGCGAUGAUGGGUAGCCGGCCUGAGAGGGUGAACGGCCACAAGGGGACUGAGACACGGCCCUUACUCCUACGGGAGGCAGCAGUGGGGAAUAUUGGACAAUGGACCAAGAGUCUGAUCCAGCAAUUCUGUGUGCACGAUGACGUUUUUCGGAAUGUAAAGUGCUUUCAGUUGGGAAGAAAAAAUGACGGUACCAACAGAAGAAGUGACGGCUAAAUACGUG
rnacentral:rRNA from 1 species